rnacentral:rRNA from 1 species
GGGUUGUGAGGUUAAGCGACUAAGCGUACACGGUGGAUGCCCUGGCAGUCAGAGGCGAUGAAGGACGUGCUAAUCUGCGAAAAGCGCCGGCGAGGUGAUAUGAACCUUUGACCCGGCGAUGUCCGAAUGGGGAAACCCAGUGCAAUCCGUUGCACUAUCGUUAACUGAAUACAUAGGUUAACGAGGCGAACCGGGGGAACUGAAACAUCUAAGUACCCCGAGGAAAAGAAAUCAACCGAGAUUCCCCCAGUAGCGGCGAGCGAACGGGGAGCAGCCCGGAGUCUGAAUCAGCUUGUGUGUUAGUGGAACGGUCUGGAAAGUCCGACGGUACAGGGUGAUAGUCCCGUACACGAAAGCACACAUGCUGUGAACUCGAAGAGUAGGGCGGGACACGUGGUAUCCUGUCUGAAUAUGGGGGGACCAUCCUCCAAGGCUAAAUACUCCUGACUGACCGAUAGUGAACCAGUACCGUGAGGGAAAGGCGAAAAGAACCCCGGCGAGGGGAGUGAAAAAGAACCUGAAACCGUGUACGUACAAGCAGUGGGAGCCUCUUUAUGGGGUGACUGCGUACCUUUUGUAUAAUGGGUCAGCGACUUAUAUUCUGUAGCAAGGUUAACCGUAUAGGGGAGCCGAAGGGAAACCGAGUCUUAACUGGGCGUUAAGUUGCAGGGUAUAGACCCGAAACCCGGUGAUCUAGCCAUGGGCAGGUUGAAGGUUGGGUAACACUAACUGGAGGACCGAACCGACUAAUGUUGAAAAAUUAGCGGAUGACCUGUGGCUGGGGGUGAAAGGCCAAUCAAACCGGGAGAUAGCUGGUUCUCCCCGAAAGCUAUUUAGGUAGCGCCUCGUGAACUCAUCUUCGGGGGUAGAGCACUGUUUCGGCUAGGGGGCCAUCCCGGCUUACCAACCCGAUGCAAACUACGAAUACCGAAGAAUGUUAUCACGGGAGACACACGGCGGGUGCUAACGUCCGUCGUGAAGAGGGAAACAACCCAGACCGCCAGCUAAGGUCCCAAAGUCAUGGUUAAGUGGGAAACGAUGUGGGAAGGCACAGACAGCCAGGAUGUUGGCUUAGAAGCAGCCAUCAUUUAAAGAAAGCGUAAUAGCUCACUGGUCGAGUCGGCCUGCGCGGAAGAUGUAACGGGGCUAAACCAUGCACCGAAGCUGCGGCAGCGACGCUUAUGCGUUGUUGGGUAGGGGAGCGUUCUGUAAGCCGUUGAAGGUGUCCUGUGAGGGGUGCUGGAGGUAUCAGAAGUGCGAAUGCUGACAUAAGUAACGAUAAAGCGGGUGAAAAGCCCGCUCGCCGGAAGACCAAGGGUUCCUGUCCAACGUUAAUCGGGGCAGGGUGAGUCGACCCCUAAGGCGAGGCCGAAAGGCGUAGUCGAUGGGAAACAGGUUAAUAUUCCUGUACUUGGUGUUACUGCGAAGGGGGGACGGAGAAGGCUAUGUCAGCCGGGCGACGGUUGUCCCGGUUUAAGCAUGUAGGCGGAGGUUCCAGGUAAAUCCGGUACCUUGUUAACGCUGAGGUGUGAUGACGAGGCACUACGGUGCUGAAGUGAUAAAUGCCCUGCUUCCAGGAAAAGCCUCUAAGCAUCAGGUAACACGAAAUCGUACCCCAAACCGACACAGGUGGUCAGGUAGAGAAUACCAAGGCGCUUGAGAGAACUCGGGUGAAGGAACUAGGCAAAAUGGUGCCGUAACUUCGGGAGAAGGCACGCUGAUGUGUAGGUGAAGUCCCUGCGGACGGAGCUGAAAUCAGUCGAAGAUACCAGCUGGCUGCAACUGUUUAUUAAAAACACAGCACUGUGCAAACACGAAAGUGGACGUAUACGGUGUGACGCCUGCCCGGUGCCGGAAGGUUAAUUGAUGGGGUUAGCGGCAACGCGAAGCUCUUGAUCGAAGCCCCGGUAAACGGCGGCCGUAACUAUAACGGUCCUAAGGUAGCGAAAUUCCUUGUCGGGUAAGUUCCGACCUGCACGAAUGGCGUAAUGAUGGCCAGGCUGUCUCCACCCGAGACUCAGUGAAAUUGAACUCGCUGUGAAGAUGCAGUGUACCCGCGGCAAGACGGAAAGACCCCGUGAACCUUUACUAUAGCUUGACACUGAACACUGGUCCUUGAUGUGUAGGAUAGGUGGGAGGCUUUGAAGCGUGGACGCCAGUCUGCGUGGAGCCAACCUUGAAAUACCACCCUUUAAUGGCUGGUGUUCUAACGUAGACCCGUAAUCCGGGUUGCGGACAGUGUCUGGUGGGUAGUUUGACUGGGGCGGUCUCCUCCCAAAGAGUAACGGAGGAGCACGAAGGUUGGCUAAUCCUGGUCGGACAUCAGGAGGUUAGUGCAAUGGCAUAAGCCAGCUUGACUGCGAGCGUGACGGCGCGAGCAGGUGCGAAAGCAGGUCAUAGUGAUCCGGUGGUUCUGAAUGGAAGGGCCAUCGCUCAACGGAUAAAAGGUACUCCGGGGAUAACAGGCUGAUACCGCCCAAGAGUUCAUAUCGACGGCGGUGUUUGGCACCUCGAUGUCGGCUCAUCACAUCCUGGGGCUGAAGUAGGUCCCAAGGGUAUGGCUGUUCGCCAUUUAAAGUGGUACGCGAGCUGGGUUUAGAACGUCGUGAGACAGUUCGGUCCCUAUCUGCCGUGGGCGCUGGAGAAUUGAGGGGGGCUGCUCCUAGUACGAGAGGACCGGAGUGGACGCAUCACUGGUGUUCGGGUUGUCAUGCCAAUGGCACUGCCCGGUAGCUAAAUGCGGAAAAGAUAAGUGCUGAAAGCAUCUAAGCACGAAACUUGCCCCGAGAUGAGUUCUCCCUGAGACUUUAAGUCUCCUGAAGGAACGUUGAAGACGACGACGUUGAUAGGUCGGGUGUGUAAGCGCAGCGAUGCGUUGAGCUAACCGAUACUAAUGAACCGUGAGGCUUAACCUUACAACGCCGAAGCUGUU